rnacentral:rRNA from 1 species
UAAUACCAGCAGUUCGAGUCGCAUCCCUUUUUAUUGGGUCUAAAACAUCCGUAGCUUGCCAUAUAAGUCUCUUGUGAAAUCCUACGUCUCAAGCGUGGGGCUUGCAGGAGAUACUGUAUGGCUAGAGAUCGGUAGACGUAAGGAGUACGCCGGAGGUAACGGUUAAAUGUGUUAAUCUUCGGUGGACUAACAAUGAGCGAAGGCACCUUACGAGGACGAAUCUGACAGUCAGGGAUGAAGGCCAGGGGCGCAAAACGGAUUAGAUACCCGUGUAGUCCUGGCAGUAAACACUGCUCACUAAACAUCGGGCCCUCUUCGGGAGGAUUCGGUGCUGAAGCGAAGGCGAAGAGUGAGCUACCUGGGAAGUAUAGUCGCAAGAUCG